rnacentral:lncRNA from 1 species
GCACCUACCUGUAGAUGGUAGAAUGGAAUAUACAACAACAAAAUCCUAAUUCUAAUAGAAUACUAACAAUGCUAAACAAGCUUUAAUCAAAUUCAGAGUAACCUCAAAGUAAUUCCAAAGAAACAAUAAGAAAUCUUAAAGAAAUAUUAAAAUGAUUACAAACAUUUCUCAAAUAUAUGUCAAUUCAAUCUAAAUUUAAUCCUUGUUGAAAUCUUAUUGGACUUCAUUCAAAAUUUAGGCCAAAAACUAACUAAAUCUUAAAUCCUAAACAAACUCAAAUAAAAUCUUAAAUCCUAAAUCAAAUCCUAAUCCUUAAAUCAAACCCUAACCAAAUCCUAAAUUCUAAAUCAAAUCUUCAGAAAACCCUAAAUCCUAAAUCAAAUCCUAAUCCUAAAUCAAAUCUCUAAAUCCUAAUCAAAUCUUAAACCUUAAAUCAAAUCCUAAAUCCUAAACCAAACCCUAAUCAAAUCCUAAAUCUUAAACCAAAUCUUAACCAAAUCCUAAUCCUAAAUCAAAUCCUAAUCUCAAAUCAAAUCCUAAUCAAAUCCUAAAUCCUAAACCAAAUUCUAAUCAAAUCCUAAAUCUUAAAAUAAAUCCUAAUCAAAUCCUAAUCCUAAAUCAAAUCCUAAUUAAUCCUAAACCAAACCCUAAAUCCUAAAUCAAAUCCUAACCAAAUCCUAAAUCCUAAACAAAAUCUUAACCAAACCCUAACUCUAAUCUCAAACCCUAAACCAAAU